AUGCUUUGGGCAACACCUAUACUAAAAUUGGAACUAUACAGAGAAGAUCAGUAUAGCCCCUGCACAAGGAUGACAUGCGAAUUCAUGAAGCAUCCCACAUUUUC